rnacentral:rRNA from 1 species
CACGUAGGGCGCAAGCGUUGUCCGGAAUUAUUGGGCGUAAAGCGCGCGCAGGCGGUCUCUUAAGUCUGAUGUGAAAGCCCCCGGCUCAACCGGGGAGGGUCAUUGGAAACUGGGAGACUUGAGUGCAGAAGAGAAGAGUGGAAUUCCCGGUGUAGUGGUGAAAUGCGUAGAUAUCGGGAGGAACACCAGUGGCGAAGGCGACUACCUGGCCUGUUCUUGACGCUGAGGCGCGAAAGCUAGGGGAGCAAACGGG